rnacentral:misc_RNA from 1 species
GACGUAGGGGGCGAGCGUUGUCCGGAUUUAUUGGGCGUAAAGAGCUCGUAGGCGGCCUGCUAAGUCGGGUGUGAAAGCUCCGAGCUCAACUCGGAGAAGCCACUCGAUACUGGUAUGGCUAGAGUCCGGUAGAGGAGUGUGGAAUUCCCGGUGUAGCGGUGAAAUGCGCAGAUAUCGGGAGGUACACCGAUGGCGAAGGCAGCACUCUGGGCCGGUACUGACGCUGAGGUGCGAAAGCGUGGGGAGCAAACAGG